GGGUUGUGAGGUUAAGCGACUAAGCGUACACGGUGGAUGCCCUGGCAGUCAGAGGCGAUGAAGGACGUGCUAAUCUGCGAUAAGCGUCGGUAAGGUGAUAUGAACCGUUAUAACCGGCGAUUUCCGAAUGGGGAAACCCAGUGUGUUUCGACACACUAUCAUUACGUGAAUACAUAGCGUAAUGAAGCGAACCGGGGGAACUGAAACAUCUAAGUACCCCGAGGAAAAGAAAUCAACCGAGAUUCCCCCAGUAGCGGCGAGCGAACGGGGAGCAGCCCAGAGUCUGAAUCAGCUUGUGUGUUAGUGGAACGGUCUGGAAAGUCCGACGGUACAGGGUGAUAGUCCCGUACACCAAAAUGCACAGGUUGUGAACUCGAAGAGUAGGGCGGGACACGUGGUAUCCUGUCUGAAUAUGGGGGGACCAUCCUCCAAGGCUAAAUACUCCUGACUGACCGAUAGUGAACCAGUACCGUGAGGGAAAGGCGAAAAGAACCCCGGCGAGGGGAGUGAAAAAGAACCUGAAACCGUGUACGUACAAGCAGUGGGAGCCUCUUUAUGGGGUGACUGCGUACCUUUUGUAUAAUGGGUCAGCGACUUAUAUUCUGUAGCAAGGUUAACCGUAUAGGGGAGCCGAAGGGAAACCGAGUCUUAACUGGGCGUUAAGUUGCAGGGUAUAGACCCGAAACCCGGUGAUCUAGCCAUGGGCAGGUUGAAGGUUGGGUAACACUAACUGGAGGACCGAACCGACUAAUGUUGAAAAAUUAGCGGAUGACUUGUGGCUGGGGGUGAAAGGCCAAUCAAACCGGGAGAUAGCUGGUUCUCCCCGAAAGCUAUUUAGGUAGCGCCUCGUGAACUCAUCUUCGGGGGUAGAGCACUGUUUCGGCUAGGGGGUCAUCCCGACUUACCAACCCGAUGCAAACUGCGAAUACCGAAGAAUGUUAUCACGGGAGACACACGGCGGGUGCUAACGUCCGUCGUGAAGAGGGAAACAACCCAGACCGCCAGCUAAGGUCCCAAAGUCAUGGUUAAGUGGGAAACGAUGUGGGAAGGCACAGACAGCCAGGAUGUUGGCUUAGAAGCAGCCAUCAUUUAAAGAAAGCGUAAUAGCUCACUGGUCGAGUCGGCCUGCGCGGAAGAUGUAACGGGGCUAAACCAUGCACCGAAGCUGCGGCAGCGACACUAUGUGUUGUUGGGUAGGGGAGCGUUCUGUAAGCCGUUGAAGGUGGCCUGUGAGGGUUGCUGGAGGUAUCAGAAGUGCGAAUGCUGACAUAAGUAACGAUAAUGCGGGUGAAAAACCCGCACGCCGGAAGACCAAGGGUUCCUGUCCAACGUUAAUCGGGGCAGGGUGAGUCGACCCCUAAGGCGAGGCCGAAAGGCGUAGUCGAUGGGAAACAGGUUAAUAUUCCUGUACUUGGUGUUACUGCGAAGGGGGGACGGAGAAGGCUAUGUUAGCCGGGCGACGGUUGUCCCGGUUUAAGCAUGUAGGCGGAGGUUCCAGGUAAAUCCGGUACCUUUUAACGCUGAGGUGUGAUGACGAGGCACUACGGUGCUGAAGUAACAAAUGCCCUGCUUCCAGGAAAAGCCUCUAAGCAUCAGGUAACACGAAAUCGUACCCCAAACCGACACAGGUGGUCAGGUAGAGAAUACCAAGGCGCUUGAGAGAACUCGGGUGAAGGAACUAGGCAAAAUGGUGCCGUAACUUCGGGAGAAGGCACGCUGAUAUGUAGGUGAAGUGAUUUACUCAUGGAGCUGAAAUCAGUCGAAGAUACCAGCUGGCUGCAACUGUUUAUUAAAAACACAGCACUGUGCAAACACGAAAGUGGACGUAUACGGUGUGACGCCUGCCCGGUGCCGGAAGGUUAAUUGAUGGGGUUAUCCGUAAGGAGAAGCUCUUGAUCGAAGCCCCGGUAAACGGCGGCCGUAACUAUAACGGUCCUAAGGUAGCGAAAUUCCUUGUCGGGUAAGUUCCGACCUGCACGAAUGGCGUAAUGAUGGCCAGGCUGUCUCCACCCGAGACUCAGUGAAAUUGAACUCGCUGUGAAGAUGCAGUGUACCCGCGGCAAGACGGAAAGACCCCGUGAACCUUUACUAUAGCUUGACACUGAACACUGGUCCUUGAUGUGUAGGAUAGGUGGGAGGCUUUGAAGUGUGGACGCCAGUCUGCAUGGAGCCAUCCUUGAAAUACCACCCUUUAAUGGCUGGUGUUCUAACGUGGACCCGUAAUCCGGGUUGCGGACAGUGUCUGGUGGGUAGUUUGACUGGGGCGGUCUCCUCCUAAAGAGUAACGGAGGAGCACGAAGGUUAGCUAAUCCUGGUCGGACAUCAGGAGGUUAGUGCAAAGGCAUAAGCUAGCUUGACUGCGAGAGUGACGGCUCGAGCAGGUGCGAAAGCAGGUCUUAGUGAUCCGGUGGUUCUGAAUGGAAGGGCCAUCGCUCAACGGAUAAAAGGUACUCCGGGGAUAACAGGCUGAUACCGCCCAAGAGUUCAUAUCGACGGCGGUGUUUGGCACCUCGAUGUCGGCUCAUCACAUCCUGGGGCUGAAGUAGGUCCCAAGGGUAUGGCUGUUCGCCAUUUAAAGUGGUACGCGAGCUGGGUUUAGAACGUCGUGAGACAGUUCGGUCCCUAUCUGCCGUGGGCGCUGGAGAAUUGAGGGGGGCUGCUCCUAGUACGAGAGGACCGGAGUGGACGCAUCACUGGUGUUCGGGUUGUCAUGCCAAUGGCAUUGCCCGGUAGCUAAAUGCGGAAGAGAUAAGUGCUGAAAGCAUCUAAGCACGAAACUUGCCCCGAGAUGAGUUCUCCCUGAGACUAUAAGUCUCCUGAAGGAACGUUAAAGACGAUGACGUUGAUAGGUCGGGUGUGUAAGUGUAGCGAUACAUUGAGCUAACCGAUACUAAUGAACCGUGAGGCUUAACCUUACAACGCCGAAG
rnacentral:rRNA from 1 species